rnacentral:SRP_RNA from 1 species
CCACGCUAGCCGGGGAGUUAGCGGCGCCUUGUACCUGCAAUCCGCUAUAGCAGGGGUGAUGCUUGGUCGAGGCAGGGUUUUGUAAGGUCUGCCCUUAGUAAGUGAUGUAGACGAUUGGGUCUUGCGCAAUAGGAAUUUAUGAACCGUGUCAGGUCCGGAAGGAAGCAGCACUAAGUAAAACCUCCUAUGUGCCGCAAGGGUGCCUGGUCCGAGUUAACUGCUAAGGUAACGCUUAUGGAAUGCUGUCGACACCAAGUGCGUGG